CAGUAGCCGCGGUAAUACAGAGGGUGCGAGCGUUAAUCGGAUUUACUGGGCGUAAAGCGUGCGUAGGCGGCUUUUUAAGUCGGAUGUGAAAUCCCUGAGCUUAACUUAGGAAUUGCAUUCGAUACUGGGAAGCUAGAGUAUGGGAGAGGAUGGUAGAAUUCCAGGUGUAGCGGUGAAAUGCGUAGAGAUCUGGAGGAAUACCGAUGGCGAAGGCAGUCAUCUGGCCUAAUACUGACGCUGAGGUACGAAAGCAUGGGGAGCAAACAGGAUUAGAGACCCCAGUAGUCCUGUCUCUUAUACA
rnacentral:rRNA from 1 species